AAUGGUUGUUCUGCUGAGUUCGGUGAUGAACCUGGUGGCACCGCCUGCGACGAUGUUGGUGAUGACCUUCGCAAGAUCGUUCCUAUGUUUCAUAAGCGCAUGGGAACGGCUCUACAACUCCUUUUUGGCUACCCAAAAUAUAGAGGACAAAGUCUUAGUACACUACAGAAAAACAGCGAUUUCCAGUGAAAUUCUUACGAGACUUUUUCCUUUCCUUUUUCUACCAGUUUUUUACAACAAACUUAAUUUCCUACGAUGUUCUUACAUCAAUU